ACGGAAGGCAGCAGUGGGGAAUAUUGCACAAUGGGGGAAACCCUGAUGCAGCGACGCCGCGUGGAGGAAGAAGGUCUUCGGAUUGUAAACUCCUGUUGUUAGGGACGAUAAUGACGGUACCUAACAAGGAAGCCACGGCUAACUACGUGCCAGCAGCCGCGGCAAAACGUAGGUGGCAAGCGUUGUCCGGAAUUACUGGGUGUAAAGGGAGCGCAGGCGGGAUGACAAGUUGGAAGUGAAAACUAUGGGCUCAACCCAUAGCCUGCUUUCAAAACUGUUAUUCUUGAGUAGUGCAGAGGUAGGCGGAAUUCCCGGUGUAGUGGUGGAAUGCGUAGAUAUCGGGAGGAACACCAGUGGCGAAGGCGGCCUACUGGGCACCAACUGACGCUGAGGCUCGAAAGUAUGGGUAGCAAACAGGAUUAGAUACCCUGGUA
rnacentral:rRNA from 1 species